GGAGGUAUGGCCGAGUGGUUAUGGCGAUGGUUUUAAGUUUCUAAAAUUUAUACACCAUUAUCGAGAGAUGCGUGGGUUCGAGCCCCACUGCCUCCA
rnacentral:tRNA from 1 species